UUGUUCGGAAUUACUGGGCGUAAAGCGCGUGUAGGCGGGCGAGUAAGUCAGGGGUGAAAUGCCAAGGCUCAACCUUGGAACUGCCUUUGAUACUGUUCGUCUUGAGUCCGGGAGAGGUGAGUGGAACUGCGAGUGUAGAGGUGAAAUUCGUAGAUAUUCGCAAGAACACCAGUGGCGAAGGCGGCUCACUGGCCCGGAACUGACGCUGAGACGCGAAAGCGUGGGGAGCAAACAGG
rnacentral:rRNA from 1 species